UCUGGCUCGACUUUCAUGUUUGUCCAUCCAUGAUCAGCAGGUGAUUGCCCCAGAGCAUGAGGACGAGGAGAUCUAAAAGCUCUCAAAGUCAGAAGGAGGUCAAAUAUCAUGUCGAGAUGAAGAUUGUUAGGAUUUGAUACCUUGAGAUUUGAUCCAUAUUAAGCCCACAGCGAGGUCUGCAAUGAAAAAUAGAGUCCAACGAGCUCA
rnacentral:lncRNA from 1 species